rnacentral:lncRNA from 1 species
AGAUUGAACAUCAAAAAUCACAAAAACCAUCAAUUUACACUAAUUUCAGCACUUAAGCUAAUUUAGCUCAAUCUCAAUCUCAAAACUCACCUAAUCACAUCCAAAUCUGGUGAGGAUGGUCUCAAAUCCAGUGGACUACACAAAGAUAUCAGACUCAGGUCCAAACUUCCCCUGCUUCCAAAGAUCGCAUCAAGAAAAGCUCAAAAAUCUCAUUUCCAGAUCAAAGUCAACAGCAGUCCAGAAAAACCUCAGUUCGACCAAGCUAACCUCAACCAAAAUCUGCAAUUCUGGGCUUCGUGGAUUCCACUAGAAGUCUGGAAUCUAGCAAACUAAGUUUCACCGCGAUCCGACCUUCCUAUGUCGCACACGAGCCAAAACACCGAAAGCCGUUGCUGAAAAACUGCAGGAUCAGCACCUACCAAGCUGAAUCAAUGGAAGUUUGAUGCAAUUUGUGGCAAUCCGAGGGUUUAAGAUGCUAAAAUGAACUUCUCUGUGAAGAAGGGAGGAAAAGAGCAGCAAAGGGGCAUAUACCAGGUAUUUAUAGGGUGUUGGAGUAGUUAGAUAACCCUCAGGAAUAAUUGCUGAAAUAUGAUGUCCCUGCAGAAAAUCCGAUAUCUGGGCGCCCUAAACCUAGUUCUGGGCGCCCAGAACUUCCAGCCUACACAAAUGCUCCCCUUCGAUUCCUCCGCCCGCGGUGUGCUGCGCCCGUAAACGGCUACGUCGGACCUCACCUACCACCAGCCACGUAUCAGCGCAAAUGAUACUCACGAGGUGUAAUUUUCGGACCCACUUCCGGGCGCCCGAAAUAUGGACCCGAAUUGGCUUCUAGUUCUGAUCAAAUCUGCACUCAACUUCUGGGCGACCCAAGACCAGUUCUGAGUGCCCGAAUCUGGCAAAACUCCAGUUUUGCUUAUUUGAGUACGCCGGUCCAUUUCUGCAUCCAUUUCACGCAGAAACUGCAUCCAUUUCACGCAGAAACGACUUCGACUCAGUCCGACACUCUCCAGAUGUGUCGACCGGUCACUAACACUGAAGCCAAUCCUAUCCAAAGCUCAGAAACACUACAGGAAACUUUGUUGUAGUUCUCACCCCACUAUUUCCACAGAGUCGGGACCGAGCGAGCUAGCCGACGACUGCGGUAAAGGUAUCACGCCGUAGACAGAGACCACCCGAGUCGGGUUUCAUAUCUUGUAGUUGCAUAUCUCUAAUAUAUCAUCUUUUGUUAUUUGAUGAUUAUAAGUAUAUGAAUGGUGUAAAUGUAUUAAAGAUAGUUAAAUGUAAAUCCCAUUUUGGAGACAUUGUGAUGUAAAGAAAAGAAAUGAUGAAGGGAAACGUGAAUGUAAAAGUUGCAAUUGCAUGUAUAUGGUUAAAAUAUAAUCAUAGUACUUGUAUGUUGUUUAGUUUAGAAUUCUUUCACUGUGGCUAUUGUUUACCCUCGUGUAAGCCAUUAUGUAUGUUUCCGAUUGUGCAUUCUCUUUACUUGAAUUGUACAUGUGUUGAGCCUUGGGCGGACAGGGGAUGCUGUCCGUUCGGCGUCUGUUCGACGUGCCCGGACCAGCCAAAGGGAUCGGUCCCGAGGCGUGACACCCAACCUCAACCGAGCUUGGAGUUGGAGCAAGAAAAGAGAAGCAGUUCUUAGAAAGUCCAACCCUAGGUUCAAAAGGUUUGAUCUUGGAUGUGGAGCUUGAAAGAGGUGAGCUCUUGCCUUCUAUACUUUAAAUAGUGUGAUUUUGAUGGUUUUGACGGAUUUUGGUAGAAUGUGGCUUUUAGGUUUAGAUUUGGAGAUUUUCUAUUUAUAGGCUUUUAAAUGGUAUUGAUGGAUUAAAAACCCUCUUGUAGGGUUGGUUGGUGGACUUGACAACUCCGAUUGUGUUUACAAUGGUCUCCUCUGAAGAAUUAGUAGGUUUAGGUCUCUGAAAUGUGUAAUCUCCUCCUAUGUCUUCUCAUUUUUGUUUCUAGUGGUUUUUCUAUCCUAUAUUGCAUGAGAUAAACCUAGCCAAAAUAGAAAUUUCUUGCUAAACAAUAAUUCUAGAAUGUAAGUAGAAAAUCUAGCUAUUGCAGUUAGACUUUUUAUAUAUGCAUGCCUAGCUUGUUUAUUUAUAUUUCUGGAGUAGAACAUAUUUAGUGAGUAUGAUAUUAUAAUGAGACAACAAUUGGACAAGGCAAAGUGACAUGUAGAGCUUGAUUCAUGAUAACGCAUAUAAGAUGUUCAACAAAAUGCCAAUGUAGCUAGAGAGCCUUUAAUUGUAUUCAAAUGUGACAUAAUGAGUUUGGAUAUGCGACCAUAACUUGCAAGAGCCAAAAUAAACUCAAUGAGCACUUUAACUAGUGAGGGUCAUCCCUACAAGCCGUGGCCCUCUAGAGGUAUAGCUUAGGGAAGGUGUGAUUGUUCAUCUCAUACUAACUACUAAGUGCCGAUGUUGGUUCGUAUGCGAUUGUUCGACGUCCCACUAGGUAAAGUGCAAGCUUGAAUGAACCUUGUUUGGUCAGGUUAAAUGGAUAUUCAGUAGUCUAUGUGUAUUCACAUAAAUUGAUACAUGUAGAGAUAAUAGUUGACACAAUUGAUACCGUAAAAGAAUGAUAGUAGGCUUCAUUUGUUGUUAUCGCUUAUUAUUCCGCAUCUACUUUUACUUAUUUUAUUAUUGUGCCUCUAGUAAACCUAGUGACUAGAAUGCUCCUUAAGACGAUUAUACUCAUUGAAAACCAUUUCAUAUAGUUAUCAUGCUGUCUUUUUGGUUUACUUUUAAGAGUUUUCCUCAUCUUCCACAGGUGAUUAAGGCAGGGGGUUACGCACUAAAUAGUUUUCCACCAUUCCUUUAGGCGAGUCUAGAGGUGGAACCCUUUGUAGAAUAUUGUCAUUUUGAAAAGUUGUAAUAUUUGAACUAAACUUAUAAUAAUUCAUUUAAGAUAUGUAAUUGUAAUAGAAUACUAAUUUAUGCUUUGAUACUACAACUCGUAUGAAUUUUUUAUAAUUUAUGAGUUGAUUCUUGCUUGUUGUCACUUCGUACAUGUGAGGAAGCCUUAUGCACACGACGGAUCUUGCCAUGCUACCGGAGGUGCUUCUACUCGAGCCCAGGGCAUGACAUGGAUGAUUAUCAAGUCUUCUCCUACAUCGGCGGCUAAGUGGCAAACGAAUGAUCACAAAAUCUUCUCUAUCGUGGUCAUCAAUGUGCUGACGGGUGGCCGGCGAUCUUCUCCUUUGUCGAGGUCAAAGCUCCAGCAGAUGGUCACCACUCAUUUCUUUCACUGACAGCUAAGCACAAAGCGAAGCAUCGCGAGUUUCGAGCCAUUUGCAUCAUGGUCACCAAUGCGCAGUCCCUUCCGCCAAUGGCAAGGCGCCAAGCGAAAGAUUGCUGACUCUUCUCUUCUACUGGCGGCUAAGCGCCAAGCAAAAAAUCGCCAGCUUUAAAGUUCCUUUGUCACAUUAGUUGGUGUGUAGGUGGAUGGUCGUCGUUGCCCUUCUCUUCCACCAACAGCAAAGCGCUAAGCAAAAAAUUGCUAGGUCUUCUCUUCAACAACGGCUAAGCGCCAAGCGGAAGAUGGACAGUUUCGGUGCUUCUCCGUAAUUGUUUAUGGUGCGCCUACAGAUGGCCGAGUGAAGAUUUGUUUUGGGCAUUUCAUCGAGUAGGUGAUAUGCGAGAUGCGAGGUUCUGUUGGAGUUGGGAAUCUUGGUCGACGAGCGAUGUGAUCUCGACGACAGAGAUUACAGCAGCAUCUGAGAUGGACGAAGGCUACAGCAACAAGUAAAAUGUCGCGUCAUUGCAUGAAUUGAGCAGAAGCGUCAGCAUUGAAGUUGUGGACCACGGAGAUUUCGUAGUCGAGGUCUCAACUAUAACGGAGCUGAGGUGCACAGCAGCAUAGGAGUUGAAGUUCACGACGAUGCUCGAAUUGAGCGAAAACUGCACAGUUGGGGGUUGUCGGCCAAGGCGGCUUUGGAGUCGAGAUCAAAGUUCAAGAUAGAAUUACGAACUACAACGCCAUCGGACCAUGGGCUACGUGAGGCGCUGCGGCAGCGUGUAAGUGGGGCUUGCAGCAUCAUCAUCAUCUAGGAUAUAGGUACAGCAGCAUCAGAUAGGGUCGUACCCCGCAGCGACUCCAGAAAUGUAGACCUCGACGUUAGCGUUUGGUGUUUUGCAUCGGUGAUGGUGGGCGCGGCCAACUCUAUGCACGACCAUGAUGGGAGUGGCUCGGCGAAGUUAACUAAUUUGUAGUGUAACACGGGAUGAGUUUGGGAAGUAUAUGUUAGGUGAUGUUUGCCACCUUGGAAUACAUUUAUGGCUCUUUUUUGGCCGAUCCUUCAAGGAUAGAGUUUUAUUGAUGGUCUGCAUUCUGGUGGGCAGGGAAAGGCUUUUUGCAUCUGUGAGUGAUGGUUCCCCCUAAUGAGUUCUCCUCUAUCUCGCUCCCUUUCUUUUCUCAGGUAUUAGGUACGAAAUACCGGCCGUCUCUGGUGCAAGUAGCAAAAGGUUUGUUGGUUGCUAACGGAUGCCCCAAGUUCGAAUUCUAGUUGAUUCAUAUUUCUAGUAAAAUUUAUUUUUUAAAAAAAGAAAUGAAUCGAAUAGCAUGUUACGAAAUUAGAGAGAAACGUGUGGUAGUGGGCUUUUAGUUAAAGAGAUUAAUGAAUGGGUAGUUAGGAGAAGAGUAAUAGUAGGCUCGUGAGUAAGGGAAUGUGGGGGCAACACGGUGAGUUGCCCGAAUUUCUUUCUUUUCUUUUUUUUUUUUUUUUUUUUUUUUUUUUUUUUUUUUUUGCUUCAUAGUAGUGGGCAGAAUUUUAAUUAGUUGAGAGAUAGGGCAAAUUUGGCCCCAAAAACAUAUUUUUCUGUUUUAUUGAUUUUGGCCAAUAAAAAAGCCUCAUUAUAUAUAUACAUAUAUAUAUACUAUAUAUAUAUUAUUAGAGUUGGAAUCUGAGGCUACUAUUAAGUAGCCAAACAUUCAUUGUUGCUACCAGUUUUUUAGGCUUUGGAGUCAACUCUUUUCAUAUUUUUAACAUUGAUUAAUAUAUCAUCCGAGUGGGGACCACCUCAACUCAAAAUAAACCGAGGCUAAUAUCAUCCUGAUCCUAGCAACAAAUUUUUUAUCCAAGAGUUAAAAACUUGAUAGCAAAAAAAGCGUUUUACUAUUAAUAGUUCUCAAGCCUAAUUAUAUAACCUUUAUAUAUAACUAGCUUACUCUAAUAUAAUAUUAUAAUACUAUACUAUACUACUAACCUAUAUAUACUACUUACCAUACUAUCUAGUCCGUCCUCCGUAACUUUCGACAAGUGCGGGAGGCCCCCCGUGCUUGAAGUGUUUUCGAUGAAUAAGACGUCUCGAUCGACGAUCGGCGACGCCCUCGUUAGGUAAUGAUCUAAUCGACUAUUGGAACUAUCUAGAAACCAAGUUUUACGAUUUUUACUUACAUCAUUACUAGCGAUCAAAAGAUCUAAAAAAAUGACUAUUUUAACGCGUCGAUGUGGCCCACAUUUUUUAAAUUCAACGGUAUAUGAAGUAUCUCCAAAUUACAUGAAAAUUUAUAAAAAUUUUUACUUAACAUCAGUAGUAACCGAUUAAAUUCCGAUUUAAAAAUUUGAAUCUUUUAUCACGCCGUUUUUUAGAGAUUGUCAAUUGUUCAGCUGCUUCAUCUUUGAGGCCCCCUAACCUCGUUCACGUAAGACAAACGAAAUCAAAAAAAUUAUGAAAUUUGGUUUUCUAAAGAUAAACGCUUCGCAAUAGCGUAGAUCAAGUUUUAAGCAGAACCGAUCGCCGAAAAAAAAAAAAAAAAAUCAAGAUGUCCCAAUUAUCAAAAAGCAACUUAUGCACAGCACGGAGCCUCCCGUACUUUCCGAAAGCAUAGGAGCCCCUAGCUCUCUCCUCUCUUCUCCUUUCUCUCUCUCUCUUCUCUUUUCUUCUUCUCUCUCUCUAUAUUUAUAUAUUAUUAUCACUAUUGUCAGCUUUUUUUGUAGACGCAACUCAAAAUUUUUUGGCUCCCAGUAGUAGCUUAUUUUCUAUCUUCCUUUUGAAAAUAUUUUUUCCAUAAAUAGAAAAAAGCCCAAAAAAUUGGUCCUAAAUAAAAUAAUAUUAUUAUUUAAAUUUUUUCAAAUCUUUUUAAAAUUUCGAAUCCAAAAAUCAGGCUCACUAAAACAAAAAAAGAUUCAAACACAAAGUUUCAUCUUUAUCCUCCUCUUUCCUUCUCCUUUUUGUCCCCACAACUGGAAGAGAAAAUUAAGCUUUUUCUUCAUUUGCUUUGCUAUCCUUUUUUUUUUUAAAAAAAAAUUUUCGAUCCAAAAUAAAGAAGUUUUAGUGCUAAGGGUAGGAAAGUUAUACGGGCCUGAGCAAAAAUGAAGCGAAGCCCGCUCGGCGUUUUUCGACUCGAUUAAUUUGGGCCUUCUCGAGCUCGAACUCGAAAAAAUUUAAAUGAAGGCCGAGCUUUUAAAACAAAAAAAAAAAAGGCUCGAAAUUAUUUCAGCCGAGCUUGAAAGUAAAUUACUCGGCUUCGUUUCGAAUUUUAAAAAAAGCUCGAAAAGCCUUUCGAAAAGCUCAAAUAUAUAAUAUAUAUAUCAUAUAUAUUAUAUUUAUACUAUUAUAUAAAUAUAUAGAGUAGGGCUAGAAAAUACUUUUUUUACAAGUAAUUCACCCAAGUAUACUUGUGUGUUUUUUAAACCCAUUGGAUCUACUUUUUUAAUUAACUAAUAGCCUUUUAAGAAAAUUCAAGAACAGUAUUCCUACCUUACCCACACCUACCACCACACCUACCACCAUCAAUCUCCAACCUCAAACAUAUCUCUCCACUCCAAGAGCUUAAAAACGCACAAGUUAAAAAAUCACUUGCGGUGAUACUUUUUUUAACAGUAUUUCGCUCUAACUCUAAUAUAUAUUUAAUUAAAUAUAAUAUUAAUAUAGUAGAGGCUUAACCUUAUGCUACUUUUUAUUCGAAACGUUUUAUAGAAAAAAGUCUGGUGCUUUUUGAAUUUUUUUUUUGAUUCUUUAGAUCAAUCGCUUUAGUUCGUUUUGCUUUAAAAUCUUUGAUUAAAAAUAUUAUUAUUUACCCUUUUGUUAGGGACCGCGACUCAAUUCCUAAGGUAAAUCGUUUUUUUUGUUUCGGGGAAAAUAAAAAGCCAAAAAAAAAAAGUGGGCUAUUUCAGAAUAAGUUAUCUAAAAUUUGACGGUUUAAUAAAGCGGCGGGAAAUUAAAUUCAAAAUUUCUUAACGCUUUUGGAAUGAAUUUUGGGUUUUAUUCCUUGAAAGAAUAAAAAAAAAAGAGCGUUUUUUUUUGGGUUUAGUAAGGGUGGGAAAAAAAUUUUUUAAAAGUGGUAGUUAUAAUAAAAAAUAAUGAUUAUUAAACCCUCUCCCUUUAAUAAUUUCUGAAAAUUGAAAAUUUUUUUUUUUAAAUUUAAUAAUUUAUUACUCAUUUUUUUAAUUUAAAUUUUUCAAUUAAAUUUCUUUAAAAUUUAAUAUCCAAAAAUUUAAAAUUCAAAAUUCAUAAAUUUUAAAAUUUUUUAAGUUUCAAACUUUUAAACUUUUGAUCAAUUUAAAUUUGAAAAUAUAAAAAUGAUAAAAUUUUAAAGAAUUAAAAUUUUAAAUUUGAAAAUAAAAAUAGGGGUGGGAAAAAAAAACAAUUAUAAAUUAAUUUUACCAAUAAAAAUAAAAAAAUUUUUUAAAUUCUUGAAAUAAAAAAUAAAAUUUUUUAAAUAUUAUAAAUUUUUUUUUAAAUUUUAUAAAUUAAUAAUUUUUUUAAAAAAUUUCCUGUUUUUUCAAAAACUUAAAAUUUAAUAAAAAAAUAAUAAAUUUUUAAAUAAUAUUUUAAUAUAAAUUUUUUUUAUUAAUGAAUAAUUUAAUAAUUAAAAAUAAAUAAUUAAAAUAUUGUAUUAAUAUGUUACAAUAAAAAUUUUAUACAUAAAAAUAAAUAUAAUUAAUAAAAUAUUAUUUAAGCAUUAAUUAAUAUUUUUAAUAAUUUAAAUUUACAAUUUUAAUUUAUAAAAUUUUUAAUAAAGUUUUGAAAAAAAUUUUUAAAAACAUUGAACUACCCACCUAUUCCCAUCAAAAAAAAAUGGUUGGAAAUAAGUAAAUCCCUUUACUAAUUUUUCGGUAAUACGCCGGAACAAAUAGGCAUGAUUUUUGAAACCGGAAUACAAAAAUAAUUUCGGCAAAAAAAAAAUUUUAAUCUUUCUGUCGUUUGUUUGGAAUAGGCAAGGAAAUAAUUUUCGUUAUCCUUGUUUUAAAUUAACCGCCACCAAAACGGGGGCCCUAAAGUAAUUUUUAAUUUAAUCCUAGGAAAGACCGCCAAUCAUCCGCAACCUAAUAAAGCAAUUUUAAUGCAAAAGUGUCAAAAAAAUUCAAACAAAAUCAAAUUCCUCCCCUAUAUUUCCGAUAGGCAUGCAGUAAAAAGUUUCUAACACUCUUAAUAUUAAUUAUAUAUCAUAUAAUAUAUAGAAUUUGAAAAGGCCUUCCAUUAUGGCUUAAAAAUACCAAGUUUUAUUAAGUACUUUUGUAGAAUUUUUUUUAGCCAUUUUGGGAUUAAGUUUGUCCACGCCCCCGGGGUUCCCUUUUGGGGUUAAAAAACACAGCGAGAAAUUUUUUUUUUUUUUUUUUUUUUUUUUUUUUUUUUUUUGCCAACCUGACGCCCAGGGUAAAUGACAGAAUCCGCCACAAAACAGGGAAAUCCACUGUUCAACAAAGAACGGACAAGAGUCUCGCCCAUGUAUUUCAACGGCGUCGCCAAGUAUAAAGAGUAUAGCCAGGCAACAACCACACCAAAAAUGAAAAUAAAUUAAGGAAAUAACUAAUACAUUCAAUCGACACUGCAACCAUUCACUCACAGUUUUUUUUUACAUUCAAGUGUUUUAAAUUAGAAAUUUUCCACGAAAAUUUUUCUUUUUUGAAAACUGUUUCCCCGUAACACGGAAAAACCCUUUUAAUUUUCUUUUUAAAAGAAACGCUAACAACCGAGGGGGUAAAAAAAAACCUUUUUAUUUUCAAGAAAAUACAAUUCGCUUUAUUACAUUCCAAAACCAAAACUUUGAAAAAACUCAGAAUAAUUAAAUAAAUAAAAACAAAAACUGAACCAUGUAAAAAACGACUAAGCCUAUAUAUUAUCAUACAACAUACCAACCUGGGAAAAAAGCUCUAUUGCCCGGAACCGCUUAACAACGGCGUAAACGCUCACGACUCGUCCCACCUACUUCAACGCCCGGCGAUACGCUGCAAAAAAAAUGGUACGGGGAGGUUUGAGAAAUAAAAAUGUAAAACAUGUCCCUCCCCUCCCAGUUGGGUACCCGCAAAAAAAGCCGAAGAAGGGGCGAGGGAAGUACUCACCGGAAUCAAGGAAGAACCUAUUACAACACAAAACAUGGGGUCAAAGUGGAAAAUUAAACAAGGUAAAAUAAGCAGAUAUCAAAUUAAGCGAUAAAACCUGAAAAGGAAGUAAGAAACUAUACUGAAAAUAUAACAACGCGGCUACCGCUUACUUGUAACUGGAACGAAAGCAUAAACAUGAAUUAUCUUUACUAUCAGUAAGCAAAGACAACUAUAAAGUAAGAAAAUUCUGUAAGUAAAUUGCCAAUGCAAACGACUCGUUACUUAAAAUAUAAACCAUUAUGGCCGUCCAUGGAAAAACAAUCAAGUUCCCAAAAGUUUAACCCAAUCUGAAAGCAAUGCUUCUCUUGUCCAGCCACCGCCAGACGGCUUCAAAAAGCCAGUUUGCCCACUUUAAACUACUCUCCAAAGUUGCAUAUUAACCCCUCAGGGCUUCACGGGUUGGUCACCAUUCAACCACUUUUUCCGGAAAAGAAAAAAACUCCUUGCGGUGAUCCAGACCGCAAGUUUGUUUCGUUGAAAAUGCGACGAGUUACGGCGAUACAAUGCAAUUAUGGCUUUUCAAUAUAAUCAACUCGUCGGCAACCCAGCCCGACAAUUCUGCGCCCCCCAAGCGGCCGCAUCGACCGCAUAGGUCGUCCAAACUGUUUAAAGGAAGAACAAGAAAAAACCCGACCACUCAAGGCUCAAACUAGGAAAGAAAACAGUCGACAAUCCUCUUUGCCCUGCAAAGAACAUUGGCAAAAAAAUACUGGCUCAACUUGAAAACCACAAAGAACUGACCACUCUCCAGAUCAAACUAAGAUAAAAAUGAAAACUCGACCCAAUCAAUCGUCAAACCAAGUUUAAAACAGGAUAUGAAAAAAACUCGAAAACAAUUUUUCAAUGUCCAACAAGCUAUAGGAAUAAUUUUUGAAAUUAAAAGUAAAUAAUCAUCCGUCGGCAAACUAACGCGACCAAAACCCAAACCCCUCCAGCUGGAUACGACCUCAAACGGUCCAUCAAAACAACAAAAGGAAUUGCAGAAAAACUCAAGACCGAUAGGUCAACGAAUUAUUGAAUUUUACUAGAAUGCGACCGACCUUGAAAUUCGCUAAUUUCUCACAGAUAAUUUCAACAGAAAUCCGCUCCUAACCUUAUAAAUAUGAAAAACCAGGGUAAAUGCAGAAAAUAAGCUCAGUUUAAAGAAGCAACAAAGGAAAAACAUGGGUAAAAUCACAUACAAAGAAAUAGACUAUUACUCGGCUACAAACAUGAACUUUAAAGCAAUGAAAAACAUAUGAUAGAGUAUAAAUCAAACAACGUGGGUUUUGUUCAAUGUAACAACAAUUAUAGUUUGGCGCAAAAAAGCUUCACAUAUAAUUAAUCAAAGCAAUGGAAUAAUAAGCAAAAAGGAGCAAAGGGUUAAAAAAGAAACCCAUCACGAGCGUGCACCACUGUACCAACUCGGACUUCGAAGUCCCACCUUGUAAAAACAACUGUGCGUCCUGUCUUCCUGACUCACAAAAGAAACGUCAAACCGAGGAACGCUUCUAAAGGAAGGGUUCCGCCUUGGGUUUUUUAGUGUCUAAGACCCAAAAAAUAACAAAACGCAACUAGCUUUGUUCCUUCAACCAAACCUUCAACAAACAAACGCACGAUGAAAUCGGUUUUCCCCUAAAAACCAACUUAAUCGUCAACCUCGACGGAAAAAGUUCCCCGAAAUCCGCAAAAAACGGGACUCUGUUCGGGACCCCCACGGAAACUGUUUCCCCGGAACGUAACGAACUGGUGCCGCUUAACGAGUCGCUGCGCGCUGCCAAUUAACAUAAGGAAAAUCGGUGCAAUCAAUGGGCAAGCAAAAAAACACCUAGCUCACAUCGAAGCAUAAAUCCUGCCGGAUAAUUUAAUUCCGAAUGCCGGGUUUUGGCCCGGAAAGUUGUCUUAUUUUUUCGACAGCCACCAGAGACCAAAACCCGUCGCUUCCCGUCAAUUUUCGGACCCCUCGAAAAUUUUGACACGGGUUGGGGAACGCAGCCCCAAUUUAAGGCUGCCAAAAGCGACUACAACAAUAAGCUUUUCACGAAAACACCGUUCGAAAAAUAAUUUCGAGCCAAACGCCGUUUUUUUCCGGUCGGCCGGAAUUUUAUUUGCCGAAAAAACAACCACCGGAAAAAAUUUACAAAAUUUCCGUCUUUUUUUGCAAAAAAGGUUCCGGGGCCUUGGAACAAUCAAUUCCAGAGGGUCAAAACCCACCAAAUUCAUUCCAUGGGCCUGGCCAACAAGAAAAAAGCCGGCAACAAACUCAAAAAUAACUUAAAAAUCCGCUCCGAUUACGCCGAAAAUUCGGCAAUUAUUUCAAUGCGAUUUCGGCGGCCUUUAAAUGGUUUCCCGUCUAAAACACAAACUAGGAGCUUCCAUUUCAGCCCAAAACCGAGAACACUACUGAAACAAGGUCCCUUCGGCGUUGCCGGAGGCCGUGCUCAGAACCCUUUCGGAGCAAUUUCCGGGCCAAACUUUUUUGUGGGCUGAAGCCCGCCACGAGCGGCCCGCGAAAUUCGCAGUUAAACUGGGCGCAAACUGAAUAACUAAAAACACAAAAAAUUUGUAACUAAAACUCCAAAUCCGGAAGGCUUUAUGAACCCUAAAGUGACGGUGAGCCCUGCGAUCAGGAUCUGACAAGACCAUCAGCCGUUGCCCCUCACCCCCGGGGCAAAUUUCGGAAGACAGGCCUCGGGUUUUUUGCGCCGAACAGUGACUAGAUACAGGAAAAAAAAAAUUCAAUGGUUACAGAACAGCCAAAAACGUUUCUGCCUUACCGGCCGAAAGCAGUGGCCUUAAAGGGCCUGGCCGCGCGGGCAGGCACACGGCCGAGCGACUCUUUCGGCCCGAAGAAUGGGAAGCCAAAGGCUGGUUCCAAGGGAAUUCGGGUCCACCUGCUGGCCGGCGGCGGGAGGCGGCCGGGCGGCGGGCGGAAAGGAGAUUUGCAGCCGCGGCUUUGCUCCGGGUUCCAUGUGGUUUUUUCCCGGCGGCGCGGCGGCGGCUCGAGGGAAAGGCGGGUUUUUGGAACGGCGAAAUCCAUCGGCCGGAGGCCGGUUGGGGAAGCGGUGGGGUGGCUCCCGCUUUGUGGGACCGGCGUCGAACGCCGGAACAUUGGAGGGAAAGCCUAAGCCUCGACCGCCCACCAAAGUCUGGGCGGCUUGCAGGAGGCUUCGGGCGGCCGGCCGGCGUGGUUCGGACGUGGGAAACACAAAAGCGGGAAAGGGUUGGGGGAAGCGGGAAAAGGCGGGGCCGCCCGGGCGGCUGGCAGGCUUCGCGCCCACGAGCUGAACUCAAAAAUCUGCGCCGAGCUGGCAGCAGAUUGCCGCAGAAAAGGGUUCCCGACGGCGCGCAAAGGACCGUCGGAACUUACCGGUGCGGUGAGGGAUUCGUUCGGAAGGCCUGGAAGGGCUGGCGCAGGCCCAUCCCAAGCCCGAGCGGGCCGGGCGCCAAGGGAAAGAAGAAGAAUCUUGGGCCAAACCCACCGGGGCCCAGCAAUCUUUUUGCUCGGGCUGGCCGCAAACACAAAGGGAGCAGCUGCCGGCGGGUGGGCGCGUGCUGUGGCAAAGGACGGCCGAGGUUGAACGCCGGAGAAAAGGGCCGGUCUCGUGCUGAAAAAGGAAAACCUCCCAAGGGAAAGGGUUAAUGAGCAAGCUUUUUUCAGGUACCCUCGUUAAAGGCGAAAAAGGGAGGGCCUAGCCGAAAGGGGAAAGCGGAGGGGAAAACCUUUGCUUUUUUUUUCGCCAGCGGCCCCGGGGUCCUUGCGGCGAACUGGGACGCGAGCACGACGAGGGCAAGGAGAUUGGGUUUGAAAAAGUCAAUUCUAGGUUUGCUUGGGGGAAAAGGAAGGUUUGAACUCGAUCUAGGGGUUUUUCGUGGCCCAAAAACCCCUAACUUUACCGUACCAAUUUUUAAUAUAAGUUACAACAGUUGGGAAAACUUUUUUUGGCAGAAACCCCUCCAACACGCUACACAAAAAUAUUUAAGGUUCAAGCCCCUUGUUUUCAGCGGCCCAUGCAACUUUGCGUGUAACAAUACCGUUCCAAAACGUCGAUUUCUCUCGUUGAUUUUGUUUAACAAUAAAAUGCCUGCCGCUUUUCCGCAGGAAAUGUUUCCGUUUUUUGCCAAAAUUUAGACCCCCUUUUUAAAGGCGGCACAAUCUCGGUUAAAUUUUCCCCGGAAGAUCGUUUUCUGUCGGCAUUUUUCGAUCCGAUUUGGCACCCAUCGCAAAUUUCAGAGCAAUGACGAGGGUAAAUUAAAAACUAAACAAAAUUUCUGUUUAUUUCGUCAGAUUAUUUUGGUCACAAGAAUUUCGCCGGCCGGACAUUCCCCUCCGCUCCCUAAGUUAAUCGCAAAUAAGUCACAAAACCUAAGAAACUCUUAUGUGAAAAACCCAAAACCUCAUAAUUCAAACGUAAUUUUUUUUUGAAAUUUCCCAACCACCAAGCUUUAAAAAAGGUAGGCCAGAAAAACAAAACUCCUCAAAGCUAACCGCCAGGUCACAAGCACCGAGCAGCAGCGAAGGAAGUUUUUUUUUUAAAAUGCAAGAAAAAACCAAAAGAAAGCGAAAACCUCCUUUUCUAAAACUCCGCUUUUUUUUUUUCCUCGAAAAACCGUUGCAAUCGGAUCUUUGAAAUCCCCGUUCAAGUGCCAUUGGUUUUCCAGAAUACUUUCUGAAAACCCGUUUUCAAAACGAGCACUAUUGGGAAUCCGCUUAUGGGAACCGGAGUUCCGAUACGCGCCGAAACAAGCCGUCUCUUAAACUCCGUUGGCUUUUUCCUCCGGAAAAAACCGAGUUUAUAUUUCAAUUUUAAGUGAAAAACUAAAAUAAAUAUCGCGUAAACUUUUUCUUCCCAAUCUUUUAGCUCAUUUUUCUUUCUGAAAACUUUNNNNNNNNNNNNNNNNNNNNNNNNNUAUAUAUAUAUAUAUAUAUAUAUAUAUAUAUAUAUAUAGUCCGUCUCCCGUACUUUCGAAAGUGCGGGAGGCCCCGUGCUUGUAAGUUGUUUUCGAUGAUAAGACGUUCGAUUCGACGAUCGGCUCCGUUAGGUAUGAUCUAUCCUAUUGGAACUAUCUAGAAACCAAGUUUUAGAUUUUUUUAACAUCAUUUACUAAGCGAUCAAAAGAUCUAAAAAAUGACUAUUUUAACGGUCGAUGUGGCACAUUUUUUAAAUUCAACGGUAUAGAAGUAUCCAAAUUACAUGAAAAUUUAAUAAAAAAUUUUACUUAACAUCAGUAGUAAGAUUAAAACUUCCGAUUUAAAAUUUGAAUCCUUUAUCACUGUUUUUUAUGAGAUUUCAAUUUUCAGCUGCUCAUUUUGAGGCUACUCGUUCACUAGACAAACGAAAUCAAAAAAUUAUGAAAUUUGGUUUCUAGAUAGUUCCAAUAGCGUAGAUCAAGUUUAACAGAACCGAUCGCCGAAUCAGAUGUCCCAUUAUCAAAAACAACUUACAAGCACGGAGCCUCCCGUACUUUCGAAAGCAUAGGAGCCUAGCUCUCUCUCUCUCUCUCUCUCUCUCUAUAUAUAUAUAUAUAUAUUGUCAGCUUUUGUAGACCAACUCAAAAUUUGGCUCCCAGUAAGUACUUUUCUAUCUUCUGAUAUUUCAUAUAGAGCCCAAAAUUGGGUCUAAUAUAAUAUUUAUUUAUUUUUUAUUUUCAUCUUUUAAAUUUUCAGAUUCAAAAUCAGGCUCACUAAAAAGAAUAAAACACAAAGUUAUUUUCCUCUCUUCUCUUCCUUUUGUCCAAACUGGAGAGAAAUUACAUUUUUUCAUUUCUUCUAUCCUUUUUUUUAAAAAAAUUUUCCAUCCAAAUAAAGAGUUAGUGCUAAGGGUAGGAGUAUAGGGCUGGCAAAUGAGCGAGCCGGCUCGCGUUCGACUCGAUAUUUGGCUCGCUCGAGCUCGACUCGAAAUUAAAUGAGCCGAGCUUAAACAAAAAAAAAAAGCUCGAAAUUCAUUUCAAGCCGAGCUUGAGUAUUACUCGGCUCGUUCGAAUUAGGCUCGAAAAGCUCGAAAAGCUCGAAUAUAUAUAUAUAUAUAUAUNNNNNUAUAUAUAUAUAGAGUAGGGCUAGAAUACUUUUACAAGUAUCACCCAAGUGAUACUUGUGUGUUUUUAACCAUUGGAUCUACUUUUUUAUUACUAAUAGCCUUUAGAUCAAACACUAUUCUACCUACCACCACCUACCACCACCUACCACCAUCAUCUCAACCUCACAUCUCUCCAUCCAAGAGCUAAAAACACACAAGUAUCACUUGGGUGAUACUUUUACAAGUAUUCUAGCUCUACUCUAUAUAUAUAUAUAUAUAUAUAUAUAGUAGAGCUACUAUGCUAUCGAAAGUAUAGAAAUCUGGUGCUUUUGAUUUUUUGAUUCUUAGAUCAAUCCCUUUAGUCGUUUCUUAUCUUUGGAUUAAUAUUAUUAUUACCUUGUAGGGACCACUCAAUCCUAAGGUAUCGUUUGGUUCGGGGAUAAGCAAAAAGUGGCUAUUUCAGAAAUAAGUAUAAAUUGAGGUAUAAGCGGGGAUUAAAUCAAUUUUACGUUUGGAUGAAAAUUGGGUUAUUCCUGAGAAUAAAAAAAAAAUAGCGUUUGGUUAGGUAAGGUGGAAUAAGAAUUAAAGUGGGUAGUUAUAAAUAAAAAAUAAUGAUAUUAACCCUCUCCUUAUAUUUGAAUUUGAAUUUUUAAAUUAUAUAUAUAUUUUUUAAAUUUUAAAUUUUCAAAUUAAAUUUUAAAAUUUAAAAUAUCAAAAUUUAAAUUCAAAAUUCAAAAUUUUAAAUUUUAAAUUUUAAGUUUCAAACUUUAAAUUUAAGAUCAAAUUUAAAUUUGAAAAAUAUAAAAUAUAAAAUUUUAAAGAUUAAAUUUUAAANAUUUAAUAAAAAUAAUAUUUUAUAAUAUUUAAAUAUAAUUUAUUAUAAUAUUUAAUAUUUAAAUAUAAUUAAUAUGUAUUAAUAUAGUACAAUUAAAUAAUUUUAUAAUAAAAAUAAUAUAUUAUAAUAUAUAACAUAUUAUAUUUAUAUAAUUUAAUUUUAAUUUAAUUUAUAAUUUUAAUAAAGUUUGAAAUUAAACAUUGGAAUAGCACUAUUCCAUCAAAAUGGUGGAAUAGUAAAUCCCUUACUAUUUCGGAAUAGCCGGAAAUAGCAUGAUUUGACCGGGAUAAAAUAUUCCGGCAAAAAUUAUUUCGUUUGGUGGAAUAGCAGGGAUAAUUUUCGUUAUCCUUGUUUAUACCGCCAACCAAACGGGGCCUAAGAGUAUUAUUUAAUCCUAGGGAAGACCGCAAUCAUCCCAACUAUACAAUUUUUAAUCAAAGUGUCAAAAAUUCAAAAACAUCAAAUCCUCUAUAUUUUCGAUAGCAUAGUAGUUCUACACUCUAUAUAUAUAUAUAUAUAUAUAUANNNNNNNNNNNNNNNNNNNNNNNNNNNNNNNNNNNNNNNNNNNNNNNNNNNNNNNNNNNNNNNNNNNNNNNNNNNNNNNNNNNNNNNNNNNNNNNNNNNNNNNNNNNNNNNNNNNNNNNNNNNNNNNNNNNNNNNNNNNNNNNNNNNNNNNNNNNNNNNNNNNNNNNNNNNNNNNNNNNNNNNNNNNNNNNNNNNNNNNNNNNNNNNNNNNNNNNNNNNNNNNNNNNNNNNNNNNNNNNNNNNNNNNNNNNNNNNNNNNNNNNNNNNNNNNNNNNNNNNNNNNNNNNNNNNNNNNNNNNNNNNNNNNNNNNNNNNNNNNNNNNNNNNNNNNNNNNNNNNNNNNNNNNNNNNNNNNNNNNNNNNNNNNNNNNNNNNNNNNNNNACAAGGCCGUUGGGCUCCGACAAGGCUACGGAGGCCCCCACUCGUGCCACUACCAGACAGUCAGGACUAGCGUCCCGAGUGGAGUGAAUCCCAGUAUCUCGAGGCCUACUCAAUCAAUGUACACAAAAUCAAAGUCACGCGCGUCAAAUGACUUAAAGCGCAGCGAGCACGCGAGGGGUGUCACCGGCCUUAACGAGGCUUUCCACUCGUGCCGGAGGCCGUGCGGCUCUGGACAGUCAUCCACAGAGCCAAACCGACUUACUGAGGAUCAAACACAUCUGCCUGGUAUUUUCGCGGCUUUAGCGUACUUUAUUACGCUAAAGCCCAUUAGCCCUCCCUAAAAUACAUAAAACUCAACAACGCCGACGACAACCGUCGUACCUACUUAACACCCACUGGAGACCUGACUAACAGGUUCCGGGGCCUGGAAACGUUUCUAGCCUUUACAUAAAGGCCACACAAACAGCCGUUUUAGGCGGCUGCCUUGCGCCAAAACCGAGCCUUAAUAAGGCUGCCACGAAGCACUCGAUAACACAUCAGCGACUCGGAAUAACCGACCAGUGGGCACAGUAAAGCUCCCAAGCCUUUACUGCCCCUUCGCUGCCACCCAAGACCACAGCUUUAUCUGUGAAGGCCCUUGGGCCUAGCCUUAUUAAUAGGCUGCUAUUAGCAAAGCUACACUCCGAUCCACAAACGACGGUACUACGUGCUAAAGAAUACAAAUCACCGUCGCCUGCUGAGCAUCGUGCUCAGCCAUGCAAGGCCCUGUCAAGCACCCAGGGCUGUCUCAGGGCCACGCUAAAGCCCUGAAGGCAGCUCAAUGCUAUCAACCAAAAUCCUUUGGCUAGUAGCACCCAAACAAACACUCCAACACUCUCGAUCACCAAACAAUAAACACCCAAUCUGUGAUUGGGUCCCCUGGGAGGAAUCCAGGACAACUGCAAGAAAACAUCAGUCCUCUGUCUGCGCUGUCAACAUGUCCACCCAUGAAGCUAGGCUGCAACCAUGUCACCACGUGCGAGCCACUACCAAAGAAUGGGAACGAGAAAACAAUAAUAGGUACGAAUAUAAUAUACAACUCGAAACGUGGAUAUAACAAAUGUAAUGUGGGUGCAACAAACUAAUAUGAGAUGAGUCUACAAAGGUACGAAUCAAAGUACACAUCCUCAUAUCAGAUAGACAUACACUAUGGUACAAAGGAACAACGAGAUGAAUCGAUAAGACGUAUGGGACAAAGUAUAAAUAUCAUCUCGCUAAGACAUUAAUAGACACUCUAAUCGCUAGAUCAGCCAGCUAAGAUCAUAAGUUAUAAACACUGGAUAAGCCACUCAAAGAGUAGGAAACAACAGACUACUGGCAACUCCAGCCAUAUGGGACUCCCCACCCUAACAGCCAAUCAACGGCUGCCUACUAAUAUGAAAUAAGUAUAGGAUAUGAACACUGUACUAACCAGCUCAAAGUAUAGGACAUGAACACUGUACUAACCAGCUCAAAGUAUAAGAUCAACUAGACUCACCAGUCAAGAACACCAAGUAACUCGUCAUAAACGUAUACAAACUCUCCUACAGCUACAACAAGGUAGGAUCAACUGGACUCACCAGCCAAGAACACGAAGAAAUGUCAACUGCUGGAUACGCCAGCUACCCGGGACCCCCCGUCCUAACAGCCGACCAACGGCUGCCAACUAAUAACUCGUAUAACGUAACUAGCGGGCUAUGAGCAGCGUAAAGUGCUUGUGACCGCCAGACUAGGUGGCGUUCCUCACAAGAAAAGGCCUUUUCACCAACUUACCACUGUUGGGCACUCGGGAUCUCCCCAAUAUACGUGACCUCUCAUCAUCACCGUGACCGAACUCCAGACGCCACGACUGGUUCUCUCGUAACCAAAGUCUAACCCAUGAAAACCUGACUAACAAGGUAACUGCGUAUACAAAUAUCAUUGUCAGCAACGUACGUAUGAAUGUCUAGAAUGAAAUAUCAACAGAACGAUGAUAUCAUCUAUAAGUACAUACGAAAGACAAGGUCAAUGUCAUCGCCAUCGGCAAAUAAGUCAUAUCAAGAAUGAAGGAAAGUCAAAUAGCGAUAACAUAUAGACGAAUAAUGGAACAAAUAAAGGUGACUGGGUACAACAACAUAUCAAGAAGGACUAGGCCACUCAUGAGGAGCGGAAGAAGCCGAACGCCAUGGGUGACCCUCCCCUCUGUACAAAUGUAUAAGAGUGGAGGGGAUGGUAAAAAGUCCAUAGCGCCCGCAACUCAUCACCCUGCUCAGCACUCCAUGCGUGACUAGAACAGGAAAUCAUGUACAGAACAGCAAAAACGUUGCUUACCGGCCAGAGCAGUGCUAGGGCUGGCCGGCGGCGGCCGGACGGCGAGCGCGCCGGCCGAAGAUGGGAGCAGCUGGUCCAAGGGAUUCGGGUCACCUGCUGGCCGGCGGCGGGAGGCGGCCGGUGGCGCGGCGGAGGAGAUCAAGCCGCGGCUUGCUCUCGGGUUCCAUGUGUUCCCGGCGGCGCGGCGGCGGCCGGAGGAGGUCGGGGUGACGGCGAUCCAUCGCCGGAGGCCGUGGGGAGGGUGGUGCUCCCCGCUGUGGGCGGCGGCGACGCGCGGAUUGGAGGGAAGCCUAGCCUCGGCCCGCACCAAGUCUGGGCGGCUGCAGGAGCUUCGGGCGGCGGCCGGCGGUGGUCGGGGACGUCGGGAAACACAAGCGGGAGGUCGCCGGCGGCAGCGGGAGGCGGGGCCGCCCGAGGCAGCAGGCAGCAGAUUGCCGCAGAAGGUCCCGACGGCGCGCAAGGACGUCGGCUACCGUCGGUGAGGGAUCGUCGGAGGCCUGGAAGGGCGGCGCAGCCCAUCCCAAGCGACGGCGGCGCAAGGGAGAGAGAUCUGGCCACCCACGGCCAGAUCUUGCUCGGGCUGGCCGCAACAGCAGGAGCAGCUGCCGGCGGUGCGUGCUGAUGGCAGGGACGGCCGAGGUUGACGCCGGAGAGCGGUCUCUGCUGAGGGAAACCUCCAGGAGGGUUAAUGACAGCUUUCCAGGUCACCUCGGUAGGGAGGAGGGCUAGCCGAGGGGAAAGGAGAGGGGAACCUUGGCUUUUCCCACGGCCGGGGUCGCUUGCCGGCGACUGGGACGCGAGCACGACGAGGGCAGGGAUGGGUUGAAGUCAUCUAGGGUUUGCUGGGGGAGGAAGGUGACUCGAUCUAGGGUUUCGUGCCCAAAAACCCUAACUACCAAUAUAUAUACAAGUGGACUUUUGCAGAAAACCCCUCCAACACAAAAUAUUUAAGGUUCAGCCCCUGUCAGGGCAUGCAACUUGCGUGUACAUACCUCCACGUCCGAUCUCUCGUGAUUUGGUACAUAAAAUGCCGCGCUUUUCGCGGAUUAUCCGUUUUGCCAAAAUUCGACCCCUUAGCGGACAUCUCGUAAUUCCCGGAGAUCCGUCUGUCGGAUUUUCGAUCCGAUGGCACCAUCGCAUUCAGCAUGACGAGGGUAAUAAAACUACAAUCUUGUUUCGUCAGAUUUGGUCACAGAUUCGCGACGGAAUCCCUCCGCUCUCUAAUUAAUCCAUAAGUCACACCUAGACUUAUGUGAAAACCCAAAAACCUAUAAUUCAAACCCGUAUUUGAAUUCCCUACCACCAGUAGGUACCAGAAACAACUCUCACCUAACCCCAGGUCACAAGCACAGAGCACGAGGAGUUUUAAAAUGCACGAAUAGCAAAGAGCGAAAACCCUCUUUUCUUAAAACUCCUUUUUCUCGAAAACCGUGCAUCGGAUCUGAAAUCCGUCAGUGCCAUUGGUUCCAGAAUAGCUGAACCGUUCAAAACGAGCUAUUGGAUCGCUAUGAACGGAGUCCGAUACGCGCCGAAAGCCGUCUCUACUCCGUGGCUUCUCCGGAAAACCGGAGUUACUAUUCAUUUAAGUGAAAACUAAUAAUCGCGUAACUUCUCCAUUUUAGCUCAUUUUCUUCUGAAACUUGACGAGUGCUUAUGUAAUUAAAUUACACACAUAAACAUCGUCAACAGAGAGUUUAGUUGCACUGUCAAAAUCUCAGUCCUUACAUUAAGAGAUAUGCGGUUAGGAUGAUGUGGGCCCCCUAGGGUUGAGCGGGUGGUUGGUUGAAUAGUAUAAUCUAAUGGUUGAAAAUGAUCCGAGGAGUAGAUCUAACGGUAAAAAACUUACAAGCACCAAAUGCUUGGUGCUUUUACAAACACCAUAGCUGGACUAUAUACAUACAUACAUACAUACUUAUAUAUAUAUAUAUAUAUAUAUAUAUAUAUAUAUAUAUACUAGAUAUAUAAUAUAUAUAUAUAUAUAUUAUAUACUAUAUAAAAUAAAAAGCUAUAUAAAUAUAUAUAUUUUAUUAUCAUAUAAGCGAGAUGAAUAAAUCUGAGUUUAGUUAAAAAUGGCCAAUAUUUGUUUGGACCAUAAAACAAACCCAAUAGACCAAAUAACUAGAGCAAAUUGUACUAAAUUUAUAUAUUUUUCCUUUCUUUCUUUCUUUCUUUCUUUUACAGAGCUUCUAAAUUUAUUUAAUAUGUUUCUCUCUUCUCUUUUUCUAUUCUCUCACUCUUAAGUGGGGCAAGCGGAAGCCCUCUAAGUUACCAAGUAACAUCAUAUGCCGCGUUGCCUACCGUUGCUAUUAAUUGUAUGCGCUUUGAGAAAAUAUACAGAAUUUUUUAAAUAAAAAUUACUAUUCAUAUAAAAUUUUAUUUUACUUAUAGUAUGAUUGGAUAAUUUAAUCCAACGUAUUUAUCUAUAUAAUUUAUUUUAUUUUUGCUGCAUAAAUGAAACGAUGAAUAAUAUAGAGAUUGAGGCGAAGUAAAAACAUGCUGAGGGCCUGAAAGAUAGAUAUUUCAAUCUAUAAAAAAUAAUAUUUUUUUCAUAUUAUAAUACUAUAUUUCAUAUAAUUUUUUGUACUUUGAAAACUACUAAGACUAUUUUUGUAUCAAAUGUAUAGAUAAUGUUAUUAUACAAAUAUAACUAUUGAUCGUAUAAGAUUGAGAAUUUCAAGCGGCGUCGUUUAGGGCUCGCAAGCUCGCUCGACCUUUAAAUUAGGCUUGCUCGAGCUCGGCUCGAAUUAAUUUCAAUCCAAGCUUGAGCUUAAAUUUAGGCUCGAAAUUAAUUUCAAGUCGAAUUUGAGCCGAGAUAAGCUCGCUCGAGCUCGGCUCGUUUCCACCCCUACAGGAGUAGAUCCAGACCCGAUGCCCCAAAUGUGAGGGUUCGUACUAUCUAGCUAGUGUGAAACAUGGGUAGAAAAUAUUAUUCCAAAAUCUAAAUAUUAAAGGUAAAAAAAAAAAAGGGCUAAUUCACUUAACUUGGUACUGUUUGGUUGGAAUAAGUUAUUUUUGCUUAUUUGUAAUACAACUAUGACUUUUAAAAUAACUAGAGCGGAACAAAUUUUCUAUUUGACUGAUAAUUGAGUUAUUCUCAAAAACUAAAAAAGCAUUUGGAUUGUUAGACUGCAAUAGUAGAAAUAGAUAGGAUUAUAAUUUUUUUAAUAAAAACAUAAAUAUAUGAUUAAUUGUGGUGCCCCACUUCCUAAGUAUCACUCAUCAUGGAACUACUCUAGCUCUUAUAUGUUUAAAUCUCUUAAACUCUUGGGUCCGACCAUCGCUUAAAAUACUAUAUAUACCCAGUUUAAGAGAUUUUAGUACUUUUAUAUUUUAUAUAUAGAACUAUUUCAAGUCCUAGGAGUGCCACAUUUCUUCCCCCUUUAAACUCUGCCGUCUUCGUCAGGCUUAAGCACACUCAGAAGUAUUAGGCAAUGUGUGACUUGUCUCACUAGCUUUAUCUGACCUUAUGGGAAGCCGCGCUUUACUCACAAUAGUUGUCAACUAGGGAGUCACGCACUACUCGCUACAUGAUUCUGGUUUAGUCGAAACUCAUCUCACACUUUCGGCUAGUGCUUAGCUAUAACAUCAAUUGUGAUACCCCAGGAUUUUGGAUAGCCCUAUAUAUGUGAUAUAGGCUUCGUUUGGGAUGCGGGGAGAUUACGUUACGUGCGGUGAGAAAGUACGUUGGAAAAAUACCCUGUUUGUUUUCGUACAUAAUAUUGCGUUUCGCAUAUCGCGAUGAGUCGGUUACGAUAUAUUUUCUGCGGUCCCACCUGAGAACGUAGAAGCAUAUCCCUAUAUGCUUUUUCCUCAACUCUAUUUUAUCUAAUAGCGUUAGAUAUGUCUCAAUACCAAACUAAGCCAUAAUAGGGAUAAAAUCUCUUAACUUGGCUAUUACAUUUCGGGUAGUCACUGGAGCCAAGAGUUUAGGAGAGUUAAGUAUAUUACGUCUAGAGUAGUUUAGAAUGGGUAAUCCUCUAAGAAGUGGGGUGUCACAUUUGGUAUCAGAGUCAAUCACCAGCCAGAAGUAUGAGAUGAGCCAUAACUGAGUUAGGGUCAUAUAGUGGGUAAAGCAUAGCUCUCCAGUUAACGAUCAUUAUGAGUGAAGCCCAGCUCCCCAGAAGGUCAGCUAAAACUAGUGAUACAAAUUUCAUAUUACCUAAUUCUUAUGAGUGUACUUAAGCCUGGCGAGGACGUUAAGACUUAAAAAGGGGGAUCUGACACUCAAGAAUUUAAAAUAGUACUAUAUAUGAAUUAUAAUAGGGCUAAAACCGUUUAAACCAAUUAUAAUAUUUUUGGGGGUGGGUAUGCCUAAGAGAUUAAGGGAGUAAUCAUGCUAGGACUAAAGUAAUUUUAGGAUGAAUGACCCCUUGGGAAGUAAGGCAUCACAUGAACGACCCCUUGGAGUAAGGUAUCACAUUAACAAACUUCAAAGUAUUAAUUAAAUAAUAAUUUAAUAUAUUAAUUGAUUAAGAUAAUUAAUUAUGAAGCUUGUAUAAGAUAACUAAGAAACACAUAAAUAAGUUAAUAAGUAUGAAAGAUAAGUUAACAUGCUAAUUAAUUAAUUAGUUAUUAUUUUAACAUGUAGAUACAAUAUAAUUAGUUAAUAAAUUAAUUAUAUUAGUCAAAAUAUUAAUUAGUUAAGUAAUAUAAUAUUAAUGGAUAGCACAUAGCAUAAUUAAUUAUUAAAUUAUCUAGUUAAUUAAAAAACAAAUAAUUACUUGCUUAAGUAGUUAAUUAAAUAUUUAUUAAUUUAAAAAAUGAUUACUAAAAUAAGCUAUUAUAUGAUACAUUAAUUAGUAAUGCUUAGUAAUUUAAUAAUUAUAUGAUACAUUAGUGGGAAAUAUUAUAUAAUUAUUUAUAACUUAAUUACUAAUUUUAUUUGCGGAAUAAGCGAUCCACCCUUUUAAUGCGUUAACCCGUUAAGGAGAAAUAGAAGAAAUAUUAAAACCCCUUAUUCCACUCAAGUGCCCUAACCAAACAGGAUCUUAAAGCAUAUAAAUAUGGACAAAACUAUAGUAGGAGUUCCCUAACAACGCCCCGUUAGGGAACUCUGAUUUUGUGUCAUGUGUUAUAUAUAUAGUUUUGUUUUCAUCCAAGCAUUCUGUGAUGGCCCACUUCUUGGAGAGUUAUCAAUUCUUUUUUUUUUUUGAGAGAUAGGUAGCACGCGCGCUACCCGCUUCGUUUAUUUCAUUUAGAAAUAAACUUAGCUGGAAAUGUGAAUCAACUAGGAUUCGAACUUGAGUCUCGAGUACCAACCACCAAGCCUUUUGUCACUUGCUCUAGGGACGAUCGGUUGGGGAGUUAUCAAUUCUAUAACUACUUUAAUCCUAGGUUAGCUCAACUCUUAAAACCUCUUGUGUGUAACUACCGUCCAAAAUAGUAUAUCCGGACUAAGAAGUUUAGCCCUAUUAUACCUUUUUAUAUAGGACUAAUCUAAAUUCUGAAAGUAUCCUAGGUUUGUUGGCUAUUUUUAAUACUAAAAUUUUAAAAAAUAAAAAUAAAUUCUAGACAAAAGGAUUAUAACUCUUGAAUAGAGACAAAAUUGACACAUUGCAAAUUGGAGACUCCUCAACGAGGCAUCAUUGGGGAGCUCUCCAUUAAAGUUUGUUGGAGUAUAUAAAGCCAUGUUCCGAGUCGAUACGCAAAGUUUGACUCUGAUUUGAUCAAUCUUGUUCCAAAAUAUUAUAAAUAGUUCAGAAUCACUUUAAAGAGUAUUCCUAAAAGGAUAUCGAUGACUACAUAUGAAUCAGAUUUAGAUAGAAGGCAAAAAUUGUUUCCUACUAGAAUUAGAAUUUUAGAGUUAUAUAAACCCUUAUAAUUAAUCUUUUAGAUUAUGAGCUUUAUUGAAAAUAUCCUAAUUGAGAGAAAAACGUGAAGAGCUCCUGAGAGAAAGUUUCUUGUAAUCCAAUCUACUUCUUUUGUACUUGUAUGCCGUGGAUUAAUCGACAAAAAUAUUGAGGUGGUCUUGCCCGUGGAUGUAGGUCGAUUCAUGGUUGACCGAACCACGUAAAUCUUGUGUUCUCUUAUUUUCUUUAUUACUUUGUUAUCCUCGUGUUUAUUUUUCCUACGAUCAUUCUCGUCUCUUACGUUUACGAAAGAUCCUAUUUCCACUAUGCUCACUUCUUGUGUGGGUUUGAGGUGUGCUUGGUAACCCCACGACUAGUCCCCUUUCAAUUUGGUAUCAGAGUGUUUGGUUCUUUGUAGUUCGUUGCCGGUGAAACAAUGGUGGGAAAAGUUACAAUGACGAAGUAUGAGGUUUCUCGAUUUGAGGGAACGAAUUUCGUGUUGUGGAAACUUAAUUAAGAUGCAAGCAGUCUUGAUUAAAGAAGCUUAUGAGAUCCCCUGCAAGGAAAGGAGAAAAAGCCGGAAGGGAUGAUGGAUAAACUAUUUGAAGAGAAAGGCAAGAUGGCUUUGGCAAACCUAUAUUUGGCACUAGAUGAUUUGAUACUAUUCAAUGUGGAGACCGAGACUACCGCAAAAGAGAUUUGGAAUAAAUUAAAGAAUUUCUAUGAAGGAAAGUCAUUGGUGAAUAAAAUCUUCUUAAGGUGGCAAUUGUACAAUCUAAAGAUGAAGGACGAGACACCGGUAAAAGAACAUCUAAUUUCAUUCAACUCCAUUAUGAGCAAGCUCGCAACCUUAGACGUGAGAAUCAAUGAAGAAAAAAAGACAAGUAUCUUACUUUGUUCGAUGGCGGAAUCUUGGGAUAAUUGAUUAUGAACUUGAGCCACAUUGAAACUCUUGAGAUGGUAUCGGUUGUUGCUUCAUUGCUUACCGAGAAGAAAAGGCAGAAGUCUAACCAAGGAAGCUCUUCGGGAGAGGCUAUGAUAGCACGGGGAAGACCCUUCAAGAGGGAGUGUGGUGAUCGAGGGAAGUCAAGAUCAAAGUCCAAGGGCAAAGAAAAAGUAAAGUGCUUGAAUUGUGAAAAAUUGGGGCACAUGAAGAAGGAUUCCGAGUUAAAGGGUUGAUAGUAAAUCUGAUUCAAGCAACUUCCAAGUAAUGUAGCCGAAGCGGAUGGCAAGUCAGCUAGUUCGGAGGACGGAGAUGCAUUGUUCGCAUUGGAUAGAUCUGAUCUUAUUUAUCAAUGGACUUAGAUUUGGGGGCGUCGUUCCACAUGACUCUCUAUAGGGAGUGGUUUCAUACUUACAAACCAUGAGAUGGUGUUAUCUAUUUGGGUGACAACACGACAUGUCUGGUGAUUGGAGUGGGAGACAUUCCGAUUAAGAUGUUUGAUAGUGUUGUUCGGACGAUUUCUAAUGUUCGGCAUGUUCCUACACUUUGAAAAAGUUUUCUAUCACUUGGGAUGUUUUGCAAACAAGGACAUAGGUUUAUUGGUGAGAAGAAUCAUUUGAAGGUAUGUCAAGAAUGUUUGGUGUUGAAUAAAGAGGGGCAAAUAGGUGGCCCAUAUAUAGAUUGGUGGGCGAGACUCAAGUGGCAGAAACAAUUGUUGCAAGCGCGAAGGUGGAGUCUUUGACUGUGUGGCAUCGCCGUUUGGGAAACAUGAGCAAGCGCAGAUUGUAGGUAUUAUCUAAUCGUGAACUUCUUCCAGGUUACAAGUUCGCGCCAUUAGAUUUUUGCGAAGAUUGCAUCUAUGGAAAGCAACGAAGGCUAUCGUUCUCUCUAUCACAUCAAAGAAGUAAGUCGCACCUCAAGUUGAUUCAUUCGGAUACUUGGGAGUCGCCCGAUAUUUCAUUGGGCAGGUGUUCUUACUUUAUUUCCUUUAUUGAUGAUUAUUCUCGAAAGGCUUGGGUAUACAUUCUAAAGCAGAAGUCCCACGUGUUUGAAACUUUUAAGAAGUUUAAAGCUCUUAUGGAAAAUGAAAAAUGUUUAAAAAUUAAGUGCCUACGUUCCGAAAAUUUGGGGGGGGGGGGGGUACUAUUUAAGAGAAUUUGAUGAGUUUUGUAGUGAAUAUAGAAUUAAGGGGCACCUCACGGUACCCAGUACACUAUAGCAAAAUGGUGUAGUGGAGAGGUUAAAUAGAAUACUCAUAGAGAGGGCCUAGAGCAUGUUGAGUACUUCAAAACUUGACAAGAGAUUUUGGGCGGAAGCCGUGAGCAUGGCUUGUUACUUGAUCAAUCGAGGACCAACAAAAUCACUUGAUUUGAAAAUUCCUGAAGAAGUCUGGAGCGGCAAGCUCAUUGACUACUCCUGUCACGCCCCGCGCCCCGCCUAUUUGGUCUGGUUCGGGCACGCCGACAGACCGCCGAACGGACAGAAUUUUUCCUGUACGUCCUAGGAUUCGCAAUCAAUACAAUGUACGAGAUUCCAACCAGGAACACAUUUUAAUCAAAGAUUGCAUAAGGAAGUAUCAAAAAUAUAAAACUACUUGCUAUUACAAGCAUUCACACUAGAUACAUUUUUACAUCACAAUUUUCUUUUACAUUCAACUUCCAAAUUACAAUCUAGCUAUUACAAUUUAUUACAACUUUGAUUCAUUGUCUUUUAAACCCCUAAGUUAGACCACCUCGGGGUACUGCUAUCUCUGGUCUCUAGNGAUGAGUGGCUUAUGGACUCCGCAUGUUCUUUUCAUAUUUGUACAAUAGAGAAUGGUUCUCGACAUACAUGCCUAUUGAAGGUGGAGAUGUAUUGAUGGAAAAUCACUCUAAGUGCACAGUUAUUAGAAUUGGCACUAUUCGGGUACGAAUGUUCGAUAGAGUAGUGAGGACUAUAUCUGAGGUUCGGCAUGUUCCGGAUAUGAGAAAAAAAUCUGAUCUCAUUGGGUACACUUGAUACUAAAGGCUUUAAGUAUUCUUCAGCUGAUGGAUUAAUGAAGGUCGCUAAAGGAAAUCUUGUAGUGAUGAAGGCCAAGUUGUCCGACAUGUUAUAUGUUCUAUAGGGUUCCACUGUGACAGGUUCAGCAGCGGUGACUUCUUCCUCUAUGUCAGAUUCGGAUAGCACCAAAUUAUGGCAUAUGCGACUGGGCCAUAUGAGUGAAUAUGGUAUGAUGAAGUUGGGCGAGAGAGGUUUACUUGGUAGUCAGAGUUUAGAAAAGUUGGACUUCUGCGAGCAUUGUGUUCUUGGCAAACAAAAGAGAGUCAGCUUUAAGGCCGCAGUUCACCGAACAAAAGGUGCUCUGGACUACAUCCAUUCUGAUCUUUGGGGACCCUCUCGUACUCCUACUCAUGGUGGUGCUAGAUAUAUGUUGACUUUUAUUGACGACUAUUCUCGUAAAGUGUGGGCGUUCUUUCUGAAAAGUAAGGUGAGGUGUUCAAUUAUUCAAGCAGUGAAAGGUCAUGAUUGAGAAGCAAACUGAAAAGAAGAUCAAACGAUUAAGGACCGACAAUGGUUUGGAAUUCUGCUCGUCAGAGUUUGAAGAAUUCUGCAAUAAGAAAGGAAUCGUUCGACAUAAGACCGUUAGGCAUACUCCACAGCAGAAUAGGGUGGCCGAACGGAUGAAUAGAACUCUUUUGGAGAGGGCCCGUUGUAUGCUCUCUAAUGCUGGCUUAGCGAAGAGUUUCUGGGCAGAGGCGAUCUCUACGGCAUGCUAUCUGGUGAAUCGAUCUCCACAUUCAGCACUUGAUUGCAAAACUCCGGAGGAGGUAUGGUCUGGUAGCCCUUCUGAUUAUUCUAAUUUGCGAAUAUUUGGUUGUCCUGCUUAUGUUCAUGUUAAUGAAGGCAAGUUAGAACCUAGGGCUAAAAGGUGCAUUUUUAUUGGUUAUGCAUCGGGGGUUAAGGGAAAUAGAUUGUGGUGUCCUGAAUCGUCUAAAUUAAUUGUUAGUAGGGAUGUCACAUUUGAUGAAUCUGCUAUGUUAUAUCCUAACCAUAAUUCUUCUGAUGAGACCCCGAGUGCUAGCAAACAGGUGGAGGUAGAGACCGAUGGUAUAGUUCAGUCGCAGGAUUCUUCUCAGUCAGAACAAGUUCAGUCGGCAGACACCUCAGUAACUGAAACCCCACAAGUUGAGAGGCAGAGCAUUGCUACAGGCAGAGCGAGGAGACAGAUCAAACCACCGCAGAGAUAUGGUUAUGAAGAUAUGGUUGCGUACGCUCUUUCAGUGGCACAAGAUACAGAAGAAGAAGGUGAACCUUCGACAUAUAAUCAAGUUAUUUCCGGUGCCAGUUCUGCAGAGUGGUUGGUGGCGAUGAAUGAGGAGAUGGAGUCUCUCCAUAAGAAUCGCACAUGGGAGUUGGUAAAACUGCCUACAGGUAAGAAAAUUGUCGGCUGUAAGUGGGUCUUCAAGAAAAAGGACGGAAUCCCCGGCGUGGAAGAUACAAGGUAUAAAGCUCGUUUAGUUGCUAAGGGCUACAGUCAGGUAGAAGGUGUGGACUUUAAUGAUAUUUUCUCACCCGUCGUAAAGCAUACUUCUAUUCGUGUUCUUUUAUCGUUAGUAGCCAUGAAUGACUUGUAUCUUGAGUAGCUUGAUAUUAAGACAGCUUUUCUGCAUGGAGAACUUGAGGAGCAAAUUUAUAUGAAACAGCCGGAGCGAUUCAUUGUUGAAGGGAAGGAGGACCAUGUUUGCCUGUUAAAGAAAUCGCUUUAUGGCUUAAAGCAGUCUCCUCGACAAUGGUAUAAGCGGUUCGACUCCUUUAUGACAGGUCACGGAUAUUCCAGAAGCAAGCGUGACAGUUGCGUGUAUUUCAGAAAGCUUGAUAAGGGAUCUUUCAUAUAUUUGUUGCUCUAUGUCGAUGAUAUGUUAAUUGCUUCCAGCGACAUAGUUGAGAUAAAUAAAUUGAAGGCUUUACUUAAGGGUGAGUUUGAGAUGAAAGAUCUAGGUGCUGCUAAGAAAAUCCUUGGUAUGGAAAUUAAGAGGGACAACAAGUCAGGACUACUGCAUUUGACACAAGAGAAAUAUAUAGAGAAGAUUUUAAAGCGUUUCGGGAUGACAGACGCAAAACCAGUGAGCACUCCUUUUGCGGCGCAUUUCAGACUUUCCGCCGAGUUAUCACCGCAGUCCGAUGAUGAGCGGGAGUACAUGUCACAUGUUCCCUAUUCUAGUGCUGUCGGGAGCAUCAUGUACGCCAUGGUUUGCACACGGCCGGACAUCUCCUACGCAGUGAGCAUGGUUAGCAGAUAUAUGACCAAUCCUGGUAAGGCUCAUUGGCAGGCUGUUAAGUGGAUUUUGAGAUACUUACGAGGUACCACUAACACUUGUUUGGAGUUUGGGAGGUGUAAGGAUGGUGUGGUUGGAUAUGUUGAUUCGGAUUUUGCAGGUGAUUUGGAUAGGAGGAGAUCACUUUCAGGUUAUGUAUUCUCUAUUGGCGGAUGUGCAGUUAGUUGGAAAGCUUCACUACAACCUAUUGUCGCCUUGUCUACGACGGAGGCGGAAUAUAUUGCUAUGACAGAGGGUGUGAAGGAAGCUAUGUGGCUAAGAGGCUUAUUUGGAGAGCUUACUUCUUAUUGGGAUCCGACGAUUGUUUAUUCGGACAGUCAAAGUGCUAUUCAUUUGUCUAAAGAUCAAAUGUUUCAUGAGAGGACAAAGCACAUCGAUGUAAAGUUUCACUUUGUUCGGGAUGUGAUUGGAAAACGCACGUUGACAGUUAAGAAAAUUGGUACUGAGGACAAUCCGGCGGAUAUGCUUACUAAGUCCCUUACUAUUGCCAAGUUCAAGCAUUGUUUGGACUUGGUGGCAGUUAGCAGCAUUUGAGGCCCUUUGGGGCGUUUGGAGAAGACGGAGCACGGAGCGUUAAGGAGCAUUGAGGCAAAUUAAAUUCAAGGUGGAGUUUUAUGGCGAUCUCAACACAGCGGCUAAACUACAAAUUAAACCAAGGUGGAGAUUGUUAUAUUUGGUUUAGAUUUGUAAUUAUCUAAAUUGAGAUUAAAUCCUAAUCUAAUUGGGAUUAGAUAUUAUUUAGAUUUAAUUUGGAUAUAUGGAUUAUAAUUAGAAGUGUAAUUCUAAUCUAAUUAGAAUUAGACUCUAGUUAGGAGACAUGUAUUAUAUAUACAUGCUACGGCCAAAUUAAUCUUGCCGCGACCAAAGAUUAAGAGCCAUGGAAAUUAAUUAAGGUGUUGGUGCUCCGUCCGGUAAAGAAGCAGCCGCGACUCAAAAUUAAGCUAUGCUCUAAUUAAGCUAUAUAUUUGAGGAGAGUUGACCGAGCCAUGCAGGUUGGUCUCUACGAGGAGCCGCAGCCUUAAUUAAGAGGUGAUGCUUAAUUAAAGUAUCUAUUGAGUCGAGCCAUCUCUUCUUUGAUGCUUAUGUCUGUACCACCACUGGGACGUGCGACGUGGUGCGCUUCGGUAAGAGGGUCGAGCCACUUAAGUUUUGUACGGAUGCUAAUUGCGGCGUUUCGGAUCUAAUUAAGCUUUGGUCUUUUGAGAGAUCUUCUUUGUACUCCGCCUCCUUUUCGACAUUAAUAAAGUAUUUGCUCCGUCUUCGCCCGUGGACGUAGGCCGUUGGCCGAACCACGUAAAUAUCGGUGUGUUCUUUCCGCUUAUCUUUUCUUUUCUUGCAUUAAACUAUUUUCUAGAUCUAUUUUUCGCCGUUUCGAUUUUAACAACUGGCUUAACUAUCCGGCGGCGAAAUCGUCGCACACGUCUCGUCAAUGGUUUAGCCCCGGGCGGCGAAAUCGUCGCACACGCCCCACACCCCUCUCGGUGUGAUCCAUAAGCUCUAGGAUUCCGGAAUCCAUUUCACAUAACUCAAGGGUUGGUCUUAACCCUAUAGUAUUGACCUAUCUAGGUCCAAUAUUUUUUCCAUCCUAGGUCCAAUUGACUCUAGAUUCAAUUAUCAAUCUAUGUUCUUUAACACUAGGUUCAAUGCCACUCUUGACCAACCUAUGUUUAUUAACACUAGAUUAAAUGCUACACAUGUCCAUUCUAGGUUCACAAUACUAGGUUCAAUGUCACUCGAUCUAUUUGACCUCCUAGUUGUCCAAAUCGAGUAUUCCAUGUUUACACAUUCUUAUUUUCCAAUAUCGAGUUCUCUAAUGCACCUAGAGUUAUUGACCCAAGUUCGACUCAUGUGAAUCAAGCAUAUUCCAUAAUUUGCCAACAUGCAUUUUAUUUAGCAUUCUCAUCUUAUAUCAUUAUGCAUUUCAUCUAGCAUUUAUUACAACAUGCACCUCUCAAUUAGCAUUCUCUACACAUGUCGUUAUGCAUUCCAACUAGCACGUUCUUAUAAUGUUUACAUGCAUAGGUCAUUUCUCUUAUGCUCUCAACUAGCAUCAUUCGCAUUAUGUCACCAUCCAAUCCUGGGUAGCCUAACAUAGCAUUUAGCUCAUGCAUUCAUAUAUUUUACCACUAGCUACCAUUAUAUGCAUCAAUAUGAAAACCAUAUUUUUUUUGACAUGAAGGCGACCUAGUCGCUUCGGUGAACACAACCCAUCUCAAAUCGCUUUUCGAUUGCUUGUAGUCACUUGCAAUCGGCCUCCCACGACACCCGUGAUCCGGUUCGGCCCGAACUUGCGCGCGACCACCCAAACGGCCACCAAUCCACGAUCCGAAAAUUAAAGGUCUACGGUUAGUUGCCACGAGCCCACGAUUCUGAUUUCAUGAUUUUAGGACGUCGCCUCGGCCCUCCAGGCGGAAAUGAAGCUUUAACGGUCCGUUUUUUCAACAACUUCGCGUAGGCUCGACGAAUCGCUGAACCGACUUCACCAACGCGUUCGUAUACCUAGCAAUUAGGUUUGUAUAGGGUUAAUUUACAUUUAAACCCACCCAUGACAAAGGCCCCAAUUUGGGUGCCCUAGCAAUGUCAUUUUGUCAUUUUCCCUAGAUUGAUCUUAGAACUAAGCAAAUACUAGCUUAGAAUCAUUUAGAAAACUCUCUAAUCUCAUUUCCAACCCAUUUGAAUCAUUCCUAGGGCAUCUAGAGCUAACCCUAGAAGUUCACCAUGAGAGGGCUUUGAGAAAUCAUGGAUUUCAUGGUGCUCAUGCCUCAAGAGAGCUUCUAAGCUUGCAAGAAAGUCCAAAAUACUAAAUCUUAGGGUAAAUUCUAAACCCUAGAUGAAUUCUUGCAAAACAACUCACCUUAGCCCAAAGCAAUCCCAAGUCCACCUUGUAGGAGAGCUUCUAGGUCCUCUAAUCCUCCAAAUCCACCUUCUAAUCUCCUCCCAAUCCUCUCCUUGAGCCUUGGUGGAGAGCUUCUAGAGAGAGAGGGAGAGAAAAUAAGAGAGGAGAGGCUGCUGUGAAGGGGAGGGUGCUUAGGUUAUAUAUAGUGUGCUACAAUUGCAACUAGGCCUCCCAAAUAAUUGUAUUUGCAGCAAACUAAAUCUGUGUUGUUAGUCCAAAGUGUACCGGUACACUUCAUCGUGGAACCGGUAACACGAUCGCAUAUGACCAAACCUGAGAGCAACUCAUCCAACUGUAUCUUUCAGGCACUUCAGCCAAUUUGGCUAAAGUCCAAUAUUUUUUCCACCGACGUUUCAGUAUGUUACAACUCCUGUCUUCGUGUCUUUGGUUGUGACGCUUAUGCACGGAUACCAAAGGAGAAUAGGUCAAAAUUGGAUAAAAUCUCUCGAGGUGCAUAUUUCUCGACUACGUGAAAGGUGUUAAGGGGUAUUGAUUGUGGGAUUCUACUACCCAUAAGAUUAUCGUAAGCCGUGAUGCUGUCUUCAACGGAGGAUCCUUUCAAGGAACAAGAAAAAGCAAGAUGAUGAAGCUAUGGUUCCAAUUGAGCUCUUUGAAGCACGCAAUGAGAUGCAAAUUGAGCAAGCACAAGAGGACGAUGAGGUAGUUGAUAAUGAACUGAACUUGGAGUCUCCAAAAUCAUCUGAAGAUACAAAUUCACUGGUGGAGCCACCAGUAGAUUUCGGGCGUCCUACAUUAGACCUCCUGCGAGGUAUGAUGAUUAUAUUACUUCAUUUACUCCUUCUGUUAACUAUGUUAGUCCAUCUGUUGCUUUGGCAGAGAAAGGUGAGCCGACUUCAUAUAAGGAGACUUGUGAGUCGACCAAUGCUGAAAAAUGGCAAUUGCAAUGCACGAUGGAGGAGAAGAUGGAGUCACUUCGGAGGAACGAGACUUAGGAACUUGUUGAUUUGCGAAAAGAAGGAACACAAUCAAAUGCCGGUGGGUAUUUUAAGGUGAUAAAAGGAUGCAGAUAGGAAUACGGAGAGGUUCAAUGCGAGGUUGGUGGUGAAGAGUUAUGCUUAGAAGCCGGGGACCGACUUCGAUGAGAUCUUCUCACCGGUGGUUCGUCUUACCACUAUUCAGGUCGUUUUGGCGAUCACAGUGGUCAUGGAUUUGGAGCUCGAGCAGAUGGAUGUAAAAACAGCUUUCUUGCAUAGUGACCUAGAGGAUGAGAUAUAUAUGUCACAACCGGAAGGCUUUGUCAAAAGAGACAAGGACCAUUUGGUUUGUUGGUUAAACAAAUCAUUGUAUGGCUUGAAACAGGCGCUAAGGUAUUGGUACAAGUGAUUUGAUUCCUUUAUUGUUAGUUUCGGUUUUGAUAGGCUAGAGGCGGAUCAUUGUGCGUAUUUCUGCGGAUACGAUGACGAGAGCUUCUGUAUUUUGCUAUUAUAUGUCGACAACAUAGUGGUCGCGGGAAAUAGCAAGGGCCGGAUAUCUACCCUGAAGACUCAAUUAGCCAGUAAGUUUGAUAUGAAAGACUUAGGAGCCAUGAAUCAAAUACUCGGGAUGAAGGUACUAUGGGAGAGAAAGAAUAGCAAGGUUUGGCUUUCACAAAAGGGUUAUGUGGAGAAGGUUCUGCAACGCUUCAAUAUGCAGAACGCAAAGCCAGUUUCUACCCCGUUUCCUAUUCAUUUAAAAUUGUCAAUCGAGCAAUCACCGGGUACGGAAGCAGAAAAGGCCAACAUGGUUCGAGUACCAAAUUCAUCGACAGUAGGAAGCCUUAUGUUUGCCAUGGUGUGUACGAGGCCCAACAUUGCUCAAGUAGUUGGAGUAGUAAGUCGAUAUAUGGCGAAUCCAAGUUGUGAACAUUGGAAUGCAGUGAAGUGAAUACUCAGGUAUUUUAGGGGCACUAUAGAUUUCUCACUCUAUUAUGGUUCUACGAGUUUAGAGUGCGUCGGAUAUGUGGAUUCAGAUUUUGCAAAAGAUAGAGACAAGAGAAAGUCUACCACGGGUUAUGUUUUCUCUAUGGGCAGUGGUGCUAUUAGCUGGGAGUCAAAGCUUUAGUCGGUGGUCACUUUGUCAACAACAGCGGCAGAGUACAUAGCGGUGGCACAUGCUUGUAAGGAAGCUAUUUGGUAGGAAAGACUUCUAGGAGUAUUGAAAGUGAAGCAAGAUGUGGUACGAGUGAAUUGUGAUAGUCAAAGUGCAAUACACUUGGCAAAAAAUCCGAUAUUUCACUCUCGGACGAAGCACAUUAAUAUUCGCUAUCACUUUGUAAGAGAUGUGGUGGAUGAGGGUCUUUUCUCACUGUUAAAAGUUCAUACCGAUGCAAAUCUGGCGAAUAUUUUGAUGAAACCAGUGACUCGGGAGAAGUUUAAUUGGAGCAUUACUUCUCUUAGUCUUGGAGCUAUGUGAGGAGAGUAGGAGUUUGGUAAGACUUCCAAUUUAUUAUUUCAUGGUGUUCGGAAGAAAAGAUAAAUUAAUUGCUUUAAAGAAGUGCAUGAAGAAAUUGCACCCUAAUAUUAUAUUUAGUCUGCUCCCAAAGGAGGUCUAGACAUGAAGGUAAAUGGGUGGUGUAGAAUGAUAAUUUUCUUAUAACUCAUUUGGAGAAAUUUGCCUGGCCAAAGCUGACAAUUUUUUCAUAUGAAAAAUUUGAAAUUAUCACGACCUGCAAAAAGUUUAAAUUAGUCUCUGAUAAAGAGAUUGCAUAUUCAUGCUCAUAACUCUGCUCUCAAAGAAGGGUUGUAAUGUCAUAUAAAGCAUAUGCAUAAGAACGAAAAUACUUAUGCUCAUAACUUUGCUCCCAAAGAAGGGUUGUGAUGUCAUAUAAAGCAUAUGCAUAAGAACGAAAAUACUUAUGCUCAUAACUUUGCUCCCAAAGAAGGGUUGUGAUGUCAUAUAAAGUGUAUUUUUCAAAUUUUGGUGUGGUAAUAUUUGAUGUGGUAUUUUAUUGAUAAAACAUGCAUUUUAUUUCAGUUAUGACUUCAUCCUUUGUUCCUAUUGGUGAUUCUAUUCCUAUACUUAAUGGUUCUAAUUACUCGGAGUGAAAAGAACAGAUCAUGCUUACAUUAGGGUGUAUGCAUCUUGUUUUGGCUUUAUGAGAGGAUAAACCUACUCCUCUUACAGAUAAAAGUACGCCAAUCAAAACAGCAUUUUUGGAAAAGUGGGAGCGCUUUAAUCAGCUUAGUUUAAUGUUGAUGAAAGCGUGUGUCAGUAAAAAUAUUCGGAAUUCAAUUCCAGAAUGUGAGACAGCUCGGGAUUUCUUGAAUGCUGUGGAGCAACAGUUUGUAAGCUCCAGUAAAGAUUUGGCGAGCACCCUAAUGAAUAAACUGUCUUCCAUGAAGUACUCCGGAAAUGGCUUGAUUCGCAAGCAUAUUAUAGAAAUGCGAGAUAUUGCAGCGCAACUCACUGCACUUGAAGUAACCAUCUCUGAUUCAUUCUCAGUGCACUUUAUUUUAAAAUUUUUGCCAUCUGAAUGCGGGCCAUUUCAAAUCUCUUAUAACGCACAUAAAGAUAAGUGGUCAAUUAAUGAAUUCUUGACCAUGUGUAUGCAAGAGUAAGGAAGAUUAAUACAAAAGAAAUAAAAUACAGUUAACUUUGUUUCUCAAAAGAGACAAAUAAAGCGUGCAAAGAAUGGCAAGGGCAAGAAUGACUCAAAAAGAAAGAAUAAGGAAGUUCUAUCUGGUUCACAAGGCCAAUCAAGUAAUUAGACUCCCAAGUGCUUCUUCUGUAAGGAAAAUGGUCAUGUAAAAAAGGACUGCCAAAAAUCAGAUAUGGCUCCAGAAGAAAGGUAAGUUUCUGGUUCUGAUGCAUGAGUUGCAUUUAGUUACUGUUUUGUCUAAUAUUUGGUGGAUUGACUCUGAUGCCACAUGUCACAUGGCGAAUUCCGUGCAGGGAUUUCAGAACAGCAGAAAAUUUAGUAAAAAUGAAGCCACUAUCUAUAUAGCUGAAGGAAAUCCAACUAAAAUAGAAUUUGUACGAACAUUUAGAUUAGUUCUUUCCACUGGUCACAUUUUGGAUUUAGUUGAUACAUUUUAUGUUCCAAAUUUUUCUAAAAAUCUAAUUUCUAUUUCUAAACUUAUUAGAUUGAGAUAUAGUUUCAGUUUUGAUAAUAAAGUGUUUUAUCUUUAUCCUAUAAAUCUCAGAUAGUUGGCUCUAGUGUUUUGGAAAAUAAUCUAUAUAAAGUAUCUUUAGAUGAUUCAUAUAGUGAAAUUCUUUUUACUAUGCACGGAAAUGUUGGAUCAAAACGUGACAUUAAUAAUGAAAGGUCAUCCAUAUUAUGAGAUAAGAGGUCGGGACACAUCUAGAAACAGAGAAUCCAAAGGUUAAUUAGAGAAGACAUUUUAGAUGAUUUGGACUUCUCUAACUUUGGAAUAUGUGAGGACUGCAUAAAGAGAAAGCAGACCAAAACCUCCUCUAAAUGUGCUAAAAGAUGUGAUGAAACAUUAGAGUUGAUUCAUACCGAUAUAUACGAAUCUCUUCCUCUCUCAAUUACUGGCCAUAAAUAUUCUAUUACAUUUACUGAUGACUACUGUCGAUAUGGCUAUCUCUACUUGCUUAAGGAAAAACUAAAGCAUUAGAUGUCUUUAAGCAUAUAAGGCUGAAGUAGAGAAUCAACUCGAGAAAAGGAUAAAAAUAGUCAAAUCAGAUAGGGGUGAUGAAUAUUUUGGUAGACAUAUAGAUAAAGCCCAAAUCCAUGGGCCUUUUGCUAAGUUUCUAAAGCAGUGCGGAAUUAUUCCACAGUACACCAUGCUAGGGACACCUGAUUAGAAUGGUGUUGUUGAAGGAAGGAACCGCAUAUUAAUUGAUAUGCUCAGAAGUAUGAUCAGUAAUUCUACCAUUCCGACAUUAUUGUGGAGUGAGGCACUCAAAACUGCCCUAUAUAUUCUUAAUCGGAUUCCUACUAAGACUGUCACUAAGACUCCUUUUGAGCUUUGGACAAGUAGGAAAUCCAGUUUAAGACAUUUUCAUACAUGGGGUUGUCAAGCUGAGGCCAAAUUGUACGAACCACAAAUAAAGAAAUUGGACCCUCGAACCAUAUCAGGAUAUUUUAUUCGGAAAGGUCCAAAGGGUAUAAGUUUUACUGUCCAUCACUUCCUAUAAGAUUGCAGAAACUAAAAUAGCACGGUUUAUUAAGGAUGGUGCAAUUAGUGGGAGCUCUGAACCUCGGUUCAUUGAAUUUGAGGAAAUUCAAGAGCAUUCGGAUUCUGUACAUGACAAGCCCACUAUUGUCCCUCACGAUUUGAUGGUUACUAUUCCAAUAGAACAAGUUGUUUUGGAACCACAAAAUGAUUGUGAACCUAUCAUUGAUAAAUCACAUCAAAAUGUACAAGUGAAUUAUCCACAUCAAGAUGUACAUGUGAAUAAUCAGAUAGAUUUAAUAAGAUCCUCAAGACAGAGAAGACCGGCUAUAUCCAGUGAUUAUAUCGUCUAUCUUUAUGAGAAUGGUCAGAGUCUAGAUGAUUCUCUUAGUUUUUUCGAAACUAUAAUAGUAGUAAUUCUACGGAAUGGUACAAUGCCAUGAAGAAUGAGAUUGAAUCCAUGAACCACAGUAAGGUAUGAGAUUUUGUUGAGUUACCUAUAGGAGUUAAACUAGUAGGAUGCAAGUGGGUUUAUAAAAUCAAAUAGAACUCCAAAGGUAACAUAGAGAGAUAUAAGGUCCGUCUUGUGGUAAAAGGAUUUACUCAGAAAGAAGGUAUUGACUAUAAAGAAACUUUCUCUUCAGUAUCUAGAAAGGAAUCUUUCCGUAUUAUUAUGGCUCUGGUUGCUCAUUUUGAUUUCGAGCUACACCAGGUGGAUGUCAAAAUUAUUUUUUUUAAAUGGAGAUCUCUAUGAAGAGGUGUAUAUGAAUCAACCUAAUGAAUUCUCGCAAAAGAGAAAGGAGCACUUGGUAUGCAAAUUAAAGAAAUCAAUAUAUGGACUAAAGCAGGCCGCCUGACAAUGGUAUUUAAAAUUUAAACAAACUAUUUUGACUUUUGGUUUUAAGAAAAAUGUUGUUGAUCAAUAUAUUUAUCUAAAGAUUAGUAGGAGUAAAAUAAUUUUCUUAGUCCUUUAUGUUGAUGAUAUUUUGCUUGCCAGUAAUGAUCUUAGGCUAUUGCAUAACACUGAAGAAUUUCUUUUUCAAAAUUUUGAAAUGAAAGAUUUAGGUGAGGCCUCAUAUGUUCUUGGUAUUGAAAUCAAAAGGGAAAGACAUAAAGGUUUACUCAGUCUAUCUCAAAAAGCCUACAUAAAAAAAGUUUUGAAAAAAUUUUUUGAACUGCAUAAUUGUAAGCCUAGUGUUGCUUCUGUUCAGAAAGGAGAUAAGUUUAAUACUCUUCAGUGUCGCAAGAACCAAUUAGAAAUUGAACAGAUGAAAAACAUAUGCUAUGCCUCGACAAUUGGUAGUCUUGUGUAUGCACAAAUGUGCACACGUCUAGAUAUUACUUUUGCUGUUAGAUUACUUGACAGGUAUCAAAGUAAUCCAGGUAUGGCGCAUUGGAAGGCUGCUAAGAAGGUUAUGAGAUACUUGAAAGGAACUUUGGAUCAUAUUGCAUAGGGUUAAUUACACUAAUGGUCCCUAACCUUUACACUGUUUUUCAAUUUGGUCCCCAACCUUUUUUUUUUUGCAAUCAAGUCCCUAAUCUUUUGAUUUCAUUUCAAUUAAGUCCCAGCCGUUAGAUAAGUGUUAAAAUUGACGAAAAAUGCCACGUCGGCACCACGUCAGCACCACGGAGGUGCCAUGUCAGUGCCACGGUGGCGCUAUGUCAGCGGAUUGCAAAAAAAAAAAAAAGUUGGGGACCAAUUUGAAAAACGGAGAAAAGGUUGAGGAUCAAUGGUGUAAUUAACCAAUUACAUUUAUAAAUUCAAAAAAAAUUAAUUUAAUAUUUAAAUUUUAAAUUUUAAAUUUUGAUUUUGGAUUCAAAUUUAAAUUGGAAUUCAAAUUUCAAUUUUGUAUUUAAUUUUAAAUUUAAAUUCACAUUUGGAAUUCUAAAUUCUAAUUUAAUUUCAAACUUCGAUUUGAAAUUUCAAAUUCAAAAUGUGAAUUUGAAUUCGAAGUUUAAAUUCAAAUUUAGAAUUGAAAUCAAAUCUUAAAUUCAAAUUUAAAAUUUAAUAUCAAAAUUUUGAAUAUGAUUUUCAAUUUAAAUUCAGAUUUUAAAUUUAAAUUUCGGUUUCAAAACUUUCAUUUUAAAUGUAAAUUGAAAUAUCAAAAUCAAAAUCAAAAUUUUAAGUUUGAAUUCAAAAUUUAGAUUCAAUUAAAAAUUUAAAUUUAAAAUUUGAAUUUCAAUUCAAAAUUUUAAUUAGACUUUAAAUUCAAAUUCAAAAUUCUAAUUUCUCAUUAGUCUAAAAUUUUAAUUUUAAUAUUAUUUUUGAAUUUAAAUUUAAAAUUUUGAAUUUUUAUUUUUAGGGACUAAAAUGAAAAAUGUGCAAAGUUUAGGGACCUAAAUUGAAAUGUAAAAGGUUGCCAAAUAGACGCUGACGUGGCAAUUCCGUUAAUUUUAACAGUUUUUUUAACGGUUGGGACGUAAUUGUAAUAAAAUCAAGAGAUUAGGGAGGACUCAAUUGCAAAAAAAAAAAAGGUUGGGGACUCAAGUGAAAAUUGGUGCGAAGGUUGGGGACUACCGGUGUAAUUAACCCUAUUGCAUAUUAUGAAACCACAUCACAGGUUAUUUGACUUAGGAAUUUUAUCACAGACUUAAAGAUUAUGGACUCCGGUGUUCGCCCAAUAAAGAUUGUCUGUGAUAGUUCAACUACGGUUUUCUUUGCUAAUAACAAUAAGAUUACAGCAGGGUGUAAACAUUUGGAUACCAAAUAUCUUAUUGUGAGAGAUAAAAUAGAAGAAGGUUAUAUUACAAUUAAAUACAUCAGUACCAAGUGUAUGAUUGCAGACACAAUGACCAAAGGGCUGGCACCUGAGUCAUAUACAAAUCGUGUUAAAAGUAUGGGUUUAAUUAGUUCUUUUGAUGUAUAAAGUUGUAAUGCAGCUGUUUGGAGCAUUUGAUAAACAUGAAGUUUUGUCUAUUAACAAAUGGACAUACAGUUUUAAGUUCAUUUAUAAAAUUGUGCCAUGUAAAGUACUCGGCUAGGAGAUGAAAAUGAUAUGGUAAUUAUGGAAGGAAAAUUUUAAUAUGUAGAGGUGGACCGCCAUAGUUUCUAUCAUUGUAGUCUUUUCGUUUGAGUUAAAGAUCAAGUAAGUUCUAAGAUAUUUGACCAUAAAGUUUCCAAUAAUGCACAAUAAAGUUUGGAAUAUAGAAAAUCCGUUCAUGGAAUAUAAUUAAUAUUAGUGAAGUUACCCACGCAUUGCGGCGGGCUAAUAUUAUAAAAAAAACAAAAGAUUAAUAAAAUAACAAUUUUAAAAUUUUUGAGUUGCAAUGAGACAUCAAUAAAUAUAAAUAGUAUGAGAAAAAAGAGUAUGAAUAGAUUUUAUUUUACUCAUUUUUUCUUGUAAAAGUGAUUUAUUCAGAUAACAAUUGGCAUAUUAAUGCAUUAAUUAGAAAAUGAGCAAGUGAGAAGGCGAAACAUAAGGCAGAGAUGGGAGCUGGGAAGACAAAGCACCAUGGAGUGAAAAGAGGGGAGAAGGCAAGGGUGAAGGAGGAAUUGCCAUGUGGCAAAGUUAUGAGGAAUAAUGUAUAGAUAGAUAGAUAGAUAGAUAGGUAUAGAUGAGCCAAGUGGAAGAUUGUUAGGAUUUCCAUAUGUUGUGGCCCAAUUAAUCUUAUUCAAAUCUAGAUUUACUGUAGAUAAAGGACAAUCCUAAUAAAUAUAGAACUACUUGAUAUGAUAUAUUUUAUCUCUAUUCCAUCUAUUUUAAAUUUAAAUAGAAUCCUAAUCAGACUUUA